CCUACGGGAGGCAGCAGUGGGGAAUAUUGCACAAUGGGCGAAAGCCUGAUGCAGCAACGCCGCGUGAGCGAUGAAGGCCUUCGGGUCGUAAAGCUCUGUCCUCAAGGAAGAUAAUGACGGUACUUGAGGAGGAAGCCCCGGCUAACUACGUGCC
rnacentral:rRNA from 1 species